GGAGGACGCUGGAGUGAGAUUCUGCUGCGCUCGUACUUUUGCAUGACAAUGUCAGCUCAUUGAUCCUAGCGUGUCCUGACAUUCAUGUCCAGCAAGAAGUGAGUCAAGAUGAAUGACUGAAGUGCCAGUUAAAAGGGUCUCUUGUGUCAGCUGUCUGCCCCUCGGUCUUUCCCCUUCUGACAAACUCUUUAAGGAAUUCGCUAGCAGGAAUGCAUCUGGAAAUCAUGACUCCGAGGAGGAAUACUUCUAUGGACAAUCCACAGCGUUGACCUGAUAACCAUGAGCAUGUCAGGGUCAAUUUGUGACAAGGGCGCUGGGACCUUGUGGGAGUCACAACUGAAAUCCACGCGUAGACCCCUUGUUGAAGAUGAAGAGCGAUAUUCACAGCUGAUGCCUGAGCUCUUUUGUCAUCUAUGCAGGUCAAGCCUACAAGAGAAGACCAACAGAAUAGUCAGCUAUAGAAUAGUUAGCUUUGCUAAGAAAAGCCAAGAAUCACCAAAAACCCAAGUCAUCCACAUCAACGCAAGAUCUGUACUGAAAGAACUACACCUCUCAUGGGUGCAAAGCACAAGAUGCUGCCAAUGCUUGUACAAGAUGGAAGCAGAUUGUCACAGCCUCGUGUUCUACUGGGAAAUAAGAAACAUAAAAAAGAAGAUUAUUCCACCACUUUUGUGAAGACGUCAUUAACAACAGACAGACAAAACAGCAAAGACAUUCUGACACAGAAUGCAUAUUUCAAAGAAAUAAGUAUGAGAGAGAAACUUAGCAUGUUCCCUAAAUUAUGGUAUUUUAAUGUUUUAAGGCACUUUAAAACACUCACACAUUGGAAUAUUUCCAUCAAGUUUGCUGGAGUAAACACACACUCAAGACAUGUUUUGGGGAGGGCUGGAUAAUGAUCAUGUUUCUAUUGCCUGGUAACUAUGUCUUUUGGUUGAAUGGCUCUGCUUUUGUUGUCGAGGAGGAUGGUUUUGUUAAUUAUCCAGUUCAGCCCGAACCAGCAUCCUAGUCCUCUACAAACCAGACUGUCAUAACCAAUCCAGUGUCCGAUGCUCCAGAGCGUGCUUCAGAAUACUCUCCAGGGUCUACUCCAGAAUACUCUUAAGAGUUAGCUCACUUCACAGAGCACAACCAGGAGCAGGCUACCCUGUCACUAUUGAGGAAUCCCACAAAGACUGUGUUCCCUAUAGCUCAAGAGUCUCCUGUAUCGAACAGGGGCACCUGUUUAUCUUAGUAUAUAAGAUCUUACACAAUCUGGAACCCUCUUAUUUAACUGAUCUUUUACAUGUACACAUACCUCAAAUUAAUCUAAGAUCAUCUAAACGUCAUUUUAGACUUCCCUAGGACAUGUUGGGACAGUUCAAACUGAAUGGUGACUGGACAUUUUCACUGGUGUUUUUGAUCUGCUUUCUUGACUUUUACUCUGUUUCCGUCUUCUGAUCAGUUUUCUAGUUUGAUAAUUAGUUCAUGCUCUCUUCUGAUCCCUGCUCACGUCGUUUCUAUGGUUACUAAUUGAUUGAAUAAACUGUUAGGGUGUUGCUUGUUUAGUUCUGUUUGUUUGCUUGCUCUGCUUAAGCCCUCAGUUUCCCCAAAGCAUUUGUCUGGUACUGAGGGUGUUCAAGUAUUUAUUCUAUU